rnacentral:rRNA from 1 species
UACGUAGGGUCCGAGCGUUGUCCGGAUUUAUUGGGCGUAAAGAGCUCGUAGGCGGUCUGUUGCGUCGGCUGUGAAAACCCGGGGCUCAACUCCGGGCCUGCAGCCGAUACGGGCAGACUAGAGUUCGGCAGGGGAGACUGGAAUUCCUGGUGUAGCGGUGAAAUGCGCAGAUAUCAGGAGGAACACCGGUGGCGAAGGCGGGUCUCUGGGCCGAUACUGACGCUGAGGAGCGAAAGCGUGGGGAGCGAACAGG